rnacentral:tRNA from 1 species
UCCACGCGAUGGUCGAGGUCGGCGAGGACGUGCUCGGCCCGCGUCGGCGAGAUCCGAUUGGAUCUAUUGGCGCUCGGCGCCGCGAGUGGGGC